rnacentral:lncRNA from 1 species
UUGUUGUUCUUGAAUGUACUGAUUUGGUUCUUUGUUACUAUCUACUGAUUCUCUGAUAACAGAGUUUCAGGGAGAAAGUUACUGAUUGGGGUUAUUCUGAAAGGUGAACCAUGAAGAGACAAAAAAGGAAACAUCUGGAAAGCAUAGCCUCCCCACAAACUGCCAAGAAGCCGAGAGCAAAUCUGAAUCUACAAGACCUGCAGUGUGGACGUGAGGGAAUGCCCCCAGCUCGGGAUCCAACAGCGAGCGGAGACUCUUCAGGCUCUUCAGGCUGUGUCUUGUGCAUCCCUUCACAUAAGGAGAUCGCUGCUGCUGGUAAGGAGAGUGUACGGAAUCCCUUGGGGUCUAGGCAGAGGCCAGAGGUAACCCGGGUGAUUCUGCCCAUUAGU